GACGAACGCUGGCGGCGUGCUUAACACAUGCCAGUCGUACGGUAAGGCCCUUUCGGGGGUACACGAGUGGCGAACGGGUGAGUAACACGUGAGUAACCUGCCCACAACUUUGGGAUAACGCUAGGAAACUGGUGCUAAUACUGGAUAUGUGCUCCUGCUGCAUGGUGGGGGUUGGAAAGCUCCGGCGGUUGUGGAUGGACUCGCGGCCUAUCAGCUUGUUGGUGGGGUAGUGGCCUACCAAGGCGGCGACGGGUAGCCGGCCUGAGAGGGUGACCGGCCACAUUGGGACUGAGAUACGGCCCAGACUCCUACGGGAGGCAGCAGUGGGGAAUAUUGCACAAUGGGCGCAAGCCUGAUGCAGCAACGCCGCGGGCGGGAUGACGGCCUUCGGGUUGUAAACCGCUUUCAGCAGGGACGAAGCUUUUUGUGACGGUACCUGCAGAAGAAGCACCGGCUAACUACGUG
rnacentral:rRNA from 1 species